rfam:Solibacillus silvestris StLB046 DNA, complete genome.
CUCUUAUCAAGAGCGGCGGAGGGAAUAGGCCCUGAGAUGCCCGGCAACCAGUAAGUGAUGAACUGACUAAGGUGCUAAAUCCUACAAAAUGGACAAUCAUUUUGAAAGAUAAGAG